rnacentral:rRNA from 1 species
UACGUAGGGUGCUAGCGUUGUCCGGAAUCAUUGGGCGUAAAGCGCGUGUAGGCGGUUCGGUAAGUCCGCUGUGAAAGUCGGGGGCUCAACCCUCGAAUGCCGGUGGAUACUGUCGGGCUAGAGUGCGGAAGAGGCGAGUGGAAUUCCUGGUGUAGCGGUGAAAUGCGCAGAUAUCAGGAGGAACACCAAUUGCGAAGGCAGCUCGCUGGGACGCUACUGACGCUGAGACGCGAAAGCGUGGGGAGCAAACAGG